UACGGAGGGGGCUAGCGUUGUUCGGAAUUACUGGGCGUAAAGCGCACGUAGGCGGCUUGGAAAGUUGGGGGUGAAAGCCCGGAGCCUAACUCCGGAACUGCCCUCAAAACUCUCAAGCUGGAGUUCGGAAGAGGAGAGUGGAAUUCCCAGUGUAGAGGUGAAAUUCGUAGAUAUUGGGAAGAACACCGGUGGCGAAGGCGGCUCUCUGGUCCGAUACUGACGCUGAGGUGCGAAAGCGUGGGGAGCAAACAGG
rnacentral:rRNA from 1 species